rnacentral:rRNA from 1 species
AGGGAAUCUUGCGCAAUGGGCGAAAGCCUGACGCAGCGACGCCGCGUGAGUGAUGAAGGCCUUCGGGUUGUAAAGCUCUGUGGGGAGAGAAGAAUAAGGGCAGGUUAAUAUCCUGUCUGAUGACGGUAUCUCCUUAGCAAGCACCGGCUAACUCUGUGCCAGCAGCCGCGGUAAGACAGAGGGUGCAAACGUUGUUCGGAAUCACUGGGCGUAAAGCGCGUGUAGGCGGCAACGCAAGUCGGGUGUGAAAGCCCACGGCUCAACCGUGGAAGAGCACUCGAAACUGCGAGGCUAGAGUCCUGGAGAGGAAGGUGGAAUACUUGGUGUAGAGGUGAAAUUCGUAGAUAUCAAGUGGAACACCGGUGGCGAAGGCGACCUUCUGGACAGUGACUGACGCUGAGACGCGAAAGCGUGGGGAGCAAA